rnacentral:rRNA from 1 species
AUUGAACGCUGGCGGCAUGCCUUACACAUGCAAGUCGAACGGCAGCACGGGGGCAACCCUGGUGGCGAGUGGCGAACGGGUGAGUAAUAUAUCGGAACGUACCCUGGAGUGGGGGAUAACGUAGCGAAAGUUACGCUAAUACCGCAUACGAUCUACGGAUGAAAGUGGGGGCUCGCAAGACCUCAUGCUCAUGGAGCGGCCGAUAUCUGAUUAGCAGUUGGUGGGGUAAAGGCCUACCAAGGCGACGAUCAGUAGCUGGUCUGAGAGGACGACCAGCCACACUGGGACUGAGACACGGCCCAGACUCCUACGGGAGGCAGCAGUGGGGAAUUUUGAACAAUGGGGGCAACCCUGAUCCAGCAAUGCCGCGUGAGUGAAGAAGGCCUCGGUU